rnacentral:rRNA from 1 species
UACAGAGGGUGCAAACGUUGUUCGGAUUUACUGGGCGUAAAGCGUGUGUAGGCGGUUUGGCAAGUCGGAUGUGAAAGCCCCGGGCUCAACUCGGGAAGUGCACUCGAUACUGCUAGACUGGAGUGUGGGAGAGGUUGGCGGAAUUCUCGGUGUAGAGGUGAAAUUCGUAGAUAUCGAGAGGAACACCGGCGGCGAAGGCGGCCAACUGGACCAACACUGACGCUGAGACACGAAAGCGUGGGGAGCAAACAGG